UUAUAAUAUUUUAUGUUCUAAAAAAAAAUGUAUGCUUAAAUGUUACAGAAGCAAAAAGUUGCAUAAAAGGAAAUAAAUUAAUACAAUGUAAAAUUGUACGUUAAAAUAAAAUUAGUAAAAAAAAAAAAAAAAAAAAAAAAAAAAAAAGGCAAAAAAAUUGUUUUUUCUUUAAUUUCAUUUGACUUUAAAUAUUUGUUCAUAUACGUAUGGACUAGUGAAUUAUUUUGUUUUUAUUGCAUACAUUUAUGGUUUUUUUUUUAAUUUUUUUUUUUGAAUGUCUUAAUGUUUUAUUUUAGUGUGAGAAAAAUUACAGAUACGAUCUUAUUUCUCCAGCAAAGGGUUCCUGUGUUUAUUGCAGUUUUAAAUCUUAUCUUGCAAUAUGUUACUUUAUAGCUUUCAUAGUUUUUAUGAAUAUUUUAAGAGUAGUAUGUAUUAACAAGCCGUUAGAAAGUAAAAUAAUAAAUCUGUAUAUCAAAUAUACACAGUAUAUUGCAAUUUUUAGGUUAGAGCAUUUUUUUUUUAAAUGUCAUUUUUUUUGAAAAUCAUUUUUUUUGAAAGUCAUUUUUUUUUUUUGUUCUUAAUACAAAUGUGUUUGUAUUUAUAUUGCAAAGUAUUUUUGUUAUUAUUAUUACGUUUUUAGAUACGUAAACUCAAAUUACGACGACUACACAGUUAAGCUGUUGUAUGCAUUAGCAGCGGGUGUACCCCUUAACGAAGUGUUAGAUUGUAUAUUUAAGGAUGGCAUGAACAUUGAAAGAAUUACAAACAAAAUUAAUUUUCUAUUAUUUUUACCUUUACUGAUUUCAGUGUGCUCUGCUUUUUGUGCAUAUCAAUUUCAUCGCUAUGGGAGUAAGUAUAAAAGCUAGUAAUAAUAAUAAUGAUGCAACCAUAGUAGGCAUUUUUUACAUUACAUAUGCGCGUGUGAACACUUAUUUUUUUUUUUUUUUUUUUAACAUAAAAUGUAAAUGACAAUUAUAUGUUCGUAUUUGUUUACUCACUUGCACUUUUUUUUGAUUCGUUUUACUAGAAAAAUUAAAAUACAAAAAAAAAUCGAAAAACUGAUUCCCUUUUUGAAAAAUCGGAUGUAAACGAAAAUGAGUUGUAUGAUACGAU
ensembl:lncRNA